UCAAGUGAAGAAGCGCAUACGGUGGAUGCCUUGGCAGUCAGAGGCGAUGAAAGACGUGGUAGCCUGCGAAAAGCUUCGGGGAGUCGGCAAACAGACUUUGAUCCGGAGAUCUCUGAAUGGGGGAACCCACCUAGGAUAACCUAGGUAUCUUGUACUGAAUCCAUAGGUGCAAGAGGCGAACCAGGGGAACUGAAACAUCUAAGUACCCUGAGGAAAAGAAAUCAACCGAGAUUCCCUUAGUAGUGGCGAGCGAACGGGGAUUAGCCCUUAAGCUUCAUUGAUUUUAGCGGAACGCUCUGGAAAGUGCGGCCAUAGUGGGUGAUAGCCCCGUACGCGAAAGGAUCUUUGAAGUGAAAUCGAGUAGGACGGAGCACGAGAAACUUUGUCUGAACAUGGGGGGACCAUCCUCCAAGGCUAAAUACUACUGACUGACCGAUAGUGAACCAGUACCGUGAGGGAAAGGCGAAAAGAACCCCGGAGAGGGGAGUGAAAUAGAACCUGAAACCGUAUGCGUACAAGCAGUGGGAGCCUACUUGUUAGGUGACUGCGUACCUUUUGUAUAAUGGGUCAGCGACUUAUAUUCAGUGGCAAGCUUAACCGUAUAGGGUAGGCGUAGCGAAAGCGAGUCUUAAUAGGGCGUUUAGUCGCUGGGUAUAGACCCGAAACCGGGCGAUCUAUCCAUGAGCAGGUUGAAGGUUAGGUAACACUGACUGGAGGACCGAACCCACUCCCGUUGAAAAGGUAGGGGAUGACUUGUGGAUCGGAGUGAAAGGCUAAUCAAGCUCGGAGAUAGCUGGUUCUCCUCGAAAGCUAUUUAGGUAGCGCCUCAUGUAUCACUCUGGGGGGUAGAGCACUGUUUCGGCUAGGGGGUCAUCCCGACUUACCAAACCGAUGCAACUCCGAAUACCCAGAAGUGCCGAGCAUGGGAGACACACGGCGGGUGCUAACGUCCGUCGUGAAAAGGGAAACAACCCAGACCGCCAGCUAAGGUCCCAAAGUUGUGGUUAAGUGGUAAACGAUGUGGGAAGGCUUAGACAGCUAGGAGGUUGGCUUAGAAGCAGCCAUCCUUUAAAGAAAGCGUAAUAGCUCACUAGUCGAGUCGGCCUGCGCGGAAGAUGUAACGGGGCUCAAACCACACACCGAAGCUGCGGGUGUCACGUAAGUGACGCGGUAGAGGAGCGUUCUGUAAGCCUGUGAAGGUGAGUUGAGAAGCUUGCUGGAGGUAUCAGAAGUGCGAAUGCUGACAUGAGUAACGACAAUGGGUGUGAAAAACACCCACGCCGAAAGACCAAGGGUUCCUGCGCAACGUUAAUCGACGCAGGGUUAGUCGGUUCCUAAGGCGAGGCUGAAAAGCGUAGUCGAUGGGAAACAGGUUAAUAUUCCUGUACUUCUGGUUACUGCGAUGGAGGGACGGAGAAGGCUAGGCCAGCUUGGCGUUGGUUGUCCAAGUUUAAGGUGGUAGGCUGAAAUCUUAGGUAAAUCCGGGGUUUCAAGGCCGAGAGCUGAUGACGAGUCGUCUUUUAGAUGACGAAGUGGUUGAUGCCAUGCUUCCAAGAAAAGCUUCUAAGCUUCAGGUAAUCAGGAACCGUACCCCAAACCGACACAGGUGGUCGGGUAGAGAAUACCAAGGCGCUUGAGAGAACUCGGGUGAAGGAACUAGGCAAAAUGGCACCGUAACUUCGGGAGAAGGUGCGCCGGCUAGGGUGAAGGAUUUACUCCGUAAGCUCUGGCUGGUCGAAGAUACCAGGCCGCUGCGACUGUUUAUUAAAAACACAGCACUCUGCAAACACGAAAGUGGACGUAUAGGGUGUGACGCCUGCCCGGUGCCGGAAGGUUAAUUGAUGGGGUUAGCGCAAGCGAAGCUCUUGAUCGAAGCCCCGGUAAACGGCGGCCGUAACUAUAACGGUCCUAAGGUAGCGAAAUUCCUUGUCGGGUAAGUUCCGACCUGCACGAAUGGCGUAACGAUGGCGGCGCUGUCUCCACCCGAGACUCAGUGAAAUUGAAAUCGCUGUGAAGAUGCAGUGUAUCCGCGGCUAGACGGAAAGACCCCGUGAACCUUUACUGUAGCUUUGCACUGGACUUUGAGCCUGCUUGUGUAGGAUAGGUGGGAGGCUUUGAAGCGUGGACGCCAGUUCGCGUGGAGCCAUCCUUGAAAUACCACCCUGGCAUGCUUGAGGUUCUAACUCUGGUCCGUGAUCCGGAUCGAGGACAGUGUAUGGUGGGCAGUUUGACUGGGGCGGUCUCCUCCUAAAGAGUAACGGAGGAGUACGAAGGUGCGCUCAGACCGGUCGGAAAUCGGUCGCAGAGUAUAAAGGCAAAAGCGCGCUUGACUGCGAGACAGACACGUCGAGCAGGUACGAAAGUAGGUCUUAGUGAUCCGGUGGUUCUGUAUGGAAGGGCCAUCGCUCAACGGAUAAAAGGUACUCCGGGGAUAACAGGCUGAUACCGCCCAAGAGUUCAUAUCGACGGCGGUGUUUGGCACCUCGAUGUCGGCUCAUCACAUCCUGGGGCUGAAGCCGGUCCCAAGGGUAUGGCUGUUCGCCAUUUAAAGUGGUACGCGAGCUGGGUUUAGAACGUCGUGAGACAGUUCGGUCCCUAUCUGCCGUGGACGUUUGAGAUUUGAGAGGGGCUGCUCCUAGUACGAGAGGACCGGAGUGGACGAACCUCUGGUGUUCCGGUUGUCACGCCAGUGGCAUUGCCGGGUAGCUAUGUUCGGAAAAGAUAACCGCUGAAAGCAUCUAAGCGGGAAACUUGCCUCAAGAUGAGAUCUCACUGGGAACUUGAUUCCCCUGAAGGGCCGUCGAAGACUACGACGUUGAUAGGCUGGGUGUGUAAGCGUUGUGAGGCGUUGAGCUAACCAGUACUAAUUGCCCGUGAGGCUUGACCAU
rnacentral:rRNA from 1 species